UACGGGGGGGGUAAGCGUUGUUCGGAAUUACUGGGCGUAAAGGGCGCGUAGGCGGCCUUCUAAGUCGAACGUGAAAUCCCCGGGCUCAACCCGGGAACUGCGUCCGAUACUGGAAGGCUUGAAUCCGGGAGAGGGAUGCGGAAUUCCAGGUGUAGCGGUGAAAUGCGUAGAUAUCUGGAGGAACACCGGUGGCGAAGGCGGCAUCCUGGACCGGCAUUGACGCUGAGGCGCGAAAGCCAGGGGAGCAAACGGG
rnacentral:rRNA from 1 species